rnacentral:rRNA from 1 species
UACGAAGGAUUCGAGCGUUAUCCGGAUUUAUUGGGUUUAAAGGGUGCGUAGGCGGCCUAUUAAGUCAGUGCUGAAAUAUCCCGGCUUAACCGGGAGGGUGGCAUUGAUACUGAUGGGCUUGAGUAGAGUUGAGGUUGGCGGAAUUGACGAUGUAGCGGUGAAAUGCUUAGAUAUCGUCAAGAACACCUAUUGCGAAGGCAGCUAACUAAGCUCAAACUGACGCUGAGGCACGAAAGUGUGGGGAUCAAACAGG